rnacentral:rRNA from 1 species
UACGUAGGGCGCAAGCGUUGUCCGGAAUUAUUGGGCGUAAAGAGCUCGUAGGCGGCUUGUCACGUCGGGUGUGAAAGCCCGGGGCUUAACCCCGGGUCUGCAUUCGAUACGGGCAGGCUAGAGUGUGGUAGGGGAGAUCGGAAUUCCUGGUGUAGCGGUGAAAUGCGCAGAUAUCGGGUGGAACACCAGUGGCGAAGGCGGUGCUCUGGGCCGGAACUGACGCUGAAUGGCGAAAGCGUGGGUAGCAAACAGG